AUGGACGUUUCCGGUCAAAUAAAGGUGCUCGUGUGGUUCGAGGGAUCACAAGAUUGGCAAACCAUCUACACUGCACCAAAAUCUCAAUGCGAUGUCUAUGCUUCAUGUGGCCCUUUCACAGUCUGCAACGAUGUCCCAUCCCCAUCCUGCAGCUGCUUGAGGGGCUACUCCAUACGAUCACCUCAAGACUGGGAGCUUGAUGAUCGAACAGGUGGAUGUGCAAGAAAUACUCCACUCUACUGCAGCGCCAACAUUACUAGAGUCGGCAAGGCAGAUAAGUUUUACCCUAUGACUUCUGUCAAACUUCCUGUUGAUGCCAGGAAUGUUGGCACAGCCACCACCGCAGAUGAAUGCUCACUUGUGUGCUUGGGAAGCUGCUCCUGCACCGCAUAUUCCUACGAUCAAAGUGGCUGCUUCAUUUGGCAUGACAAACUGCUCAAUAUUCAGCAACAAGGUAACAAUAUUCUUCACCUUCGCCUGGCUGCAAAAGAAGUGCAAAGUAGUAAUACCCAUAGAAGGGGGCCAAUCACUGGUGUUGCUAUUGGUGCAAGUGUUGCCAUUGUUGGUUUGAUAUUUCUAUGGAUGCUCUGGAUGAGAAAAGGGAGGUGGCAUGGUGAUAAUGUUCAGGGUGGCAUGGGGAUCAUUGCAUUCCGAUAUGCCGAUUUACAGCAUGCAACAAACAAAUUUGAAGACAAGUUGGGGGCCGGAAGUUUUGGUUCAGUAUUUAAGGGUUCUCUAACGGACUCGACAACCAUAGCAGUGAAAAGGCUUGAUGGGUUCCGCCAAGGAGAGAAGCAAUUCAGGGCUGAGGUGAGCUCAACUGGGGUCAUCCAGCAUGUCAACUUGGUUAAACUGAUUGGCUUUUGUUGUCAAGGCGAUAAGAGGUUACUUGUCUAUGAAUACAUGCCCAAUGGCUCCCUGGAUUCCCAUCUCUUCCAAAGCAAUGGCAUGGUGUUGGAUUGGACUAGAAGGUACCAAAUAGCCCUUGGAAUUGCUAGAGGAUUAUCCUUUUUGCAUGCUAGUUGUCGGGACUGUAUUAUACAUUGUGAUAUCAAACCGGAGAACAUACUUCUAGAUGGCUCUUUCACUCCUAAAGUCACGGACUUUGGGAUGGGCAAACUUUUGCGAAGGGAUUUCAGCCAUGUUGUUACUACAAUGAGGGGAACCAUUGGAUACCUUGCUCCUGAAUGGAUCAGUGGAACUCCUAUCACACCAGAAGUUGAUGUUUACAGCUAUGGCAUGGUUUUGUUAGAGACUAUAUCAGGCAACAGGAACUCGAGUAAGCAAUCCUUCUGCCAAGAUGGCGUCCAUGAAGCAUAUUUUCCGGUGCGAGUUGCACACAGUCUUCUUGAUGGAGACAUUGCUACUUUGAUAGAUGCAAAGUUGUUGGGUGAAGUGAAUCAGGAAGAGGUUGAAAGAGUUUGCAAAGUCGCAUGCUGGUGUAUUCAAGAUGUUGAGUUUGGCCGGCCUACAAUGAGUGAGGUGGUGCAGUUUCUCGAGUGUGUGUGUGAAGUUGAGACGCCUCCAAUGCCAAGAUUACUUCAAGCUAUCGCGGGACAGCCAAAUUCAAGGAUAAUGUAA
rnacentral:rRNA from 1 species